rnacentral:misc_RNA from 1 species
GUAUAGUGUUUUAUAGGCACAAAGCCCACUGAUACAUUCUAAUACAUACUACGGGGUAUAUGAUAAACAUAGGCCCAAACGACUCGAUUGCUCAAGCCUUCUGGGUCUACAAAAGGUGCACAGGUGGAAAUAUAAAGAUGACGGGGCGUGCACAUGCUCCCUAGAGAGCCAGCUACAACCCACAUCAAGUUUAUUCAAUAAUGAUCCUUCCGCAGGUUCACCUACGGAAA